CCUANGGGUGGCAGCAGUGAGGAAUAUUGGUCAAUGGGCGCAAGCCUGAACCAGCCAUCCCGCGUGAAGGAAGAAGGCGCUAUGCGUCGUAAACUUCUUUUCCAGAGGAAGAAAACCCCCGACGAGUCGGGGCUUGCCGGUACUCUGGGAAUAAGCAUCGGCUAACUCCGUGCCAGCAGCCGCGGUAAUACGGAGGAUGCGAGCGUUAUCCGGAUUUAUUGGGUUUAAAGGGUGCGUAGGCGGAUUAAUAAGUCAGUGGUGAAAACCUGCAGCUUAACUGUAGAACUGCCAUUGAUACUGUUAGUCUUGAGUACGGUCAAGGUAGGCGGAAUGUGUAAUGUAGCGGUGAAAUGCUUAGAUAUUACACAGAACACCGAUUGCGAAGGCAGCUUACUGGGCCAUUACUGACGCUGAUGCACGAAAGCGUGGGGAGCGAACAGGAUUAGAUACCCCUNUANUC
rnacentral:rRNA from 1 species